GGUCAGCCAAGGGGGAAUGAAGUCACGAGGUAGACGGGACUCAGUGCUAAGUCAGGCAGGGAAGCUGAAGCAGCAACGUUGUUCAAGCAGCUGAGGUGAUUCCCUGGAUCCACCAUAGCUGGGCGAAGCCAGAUUCCUGCAAUUGGGAGCGUGUUCCUGACUCCUCACUGUGUGCACUGACCAUUUGGAGGAAUCAAGCUAUAACCCCCAGAGGACCUAACGAAGCCGCAGGACCUGCUGGGAUCAGAGGACUGCCUUGGUCACUCUGGAAGCUGACCAGUCAACACAAGCUGGAGGCCUGAGGAGUUAACAAGCUGGUCAUCUGUAGGACAAAUGGACUGCUGUUGACUUUUCCAACGUGCCUGUAGUACACUGUUACCGCUUGCCUCUGUUUCUGCACUCUUAGCCUAGCAUUUGCUGUGGGUUUGGCCUCAGCUGCCCCUGCUGAUUAGACUUGCAGCCAUUUCUGAUAACACGUCUUUACCCCUUCUGGGCAGAAUGUAUAACCUUUGUUAUCUGUUUGUCUUCAUCUGGUUCUCUUUCGUAGUUCCAAAGCUCCUCCCUUGUGAUCUCUGUGUUAGCAGCACUCAACUUGACCAUGGUGUACUUAAGACCUUAGGUUACCACAUCCAUUUCUCCUGCCCAGGGAAGGUCAUUGGAACCUGUGAGCACAACAAAACUACCUAUUCUGUAUGUCAACAUGGCAAUCGACACAUCUGUUUUGAGCCUCGGUUUUCCCCCACCAAGGAAUGGCUGGAGGUACGAAGUUACCGUAGUGAAGGCAGCCUUAUUACCAAAACUCUACUCACUAACCCCCAACGACUCGUGUCCCUAAUCUUUGAUGCAUGUGCAGCUAUUGCCAAAAAUCCACCACAUCGUGUUACUUGCGGAAGCUUAUCAUGGGAGCAGGAAUAUAUGUCUGCAGGUAAAUAUAUGUGCUUAAAAUAUAAUCCUGGAAACUCAGUAUGUGCUUCCGAAGCAUACUAUUUCUGCCCCUUUUGGACUUGUGUCUACUGGGCCACUUGGCAGAAUCAAGACAGAACAGCACUCCUCCAAAGGGUUAUGGCUGCCUCAGACUGCCAAAAAGGAACCUGCAACCCUGUUAAUUUUACUAUUUUUACACCCAGCGAUUAUAUAUGGCAAAAGGGACUGGAGAUGAGUUUGCUUAUUUCUGGACGUGGUCCUGACCCUGGUACUCUACUGUACAUCAAAAGGGUCACUGUUAACCUUAAUGCCUCAUCACGCCAGGCUUUCCAUUCCUUUUAUGAGGAGGUAGACAGUGAGGUCCUAGUUUCUGCUAUCGCUAAAUGUCUGUUUUGAGAUCUGACUGAGAAUAUAUUUUAAAAAAAUGUCUACUUUAAUUUUUUUUUAACUCAUUGAUUUUUAACUGUGCAUGAUGUUUUGUCUACAACUAUGUAAGUGCACCUGUUUCAUGCAAAGCACAGGAAAGUCAGAAGAAGGCAUCAGAUUUCCUGGAAUUGGACUUAUGGACAGUUGUUAGUCACCUGGGUGCUGGGAACAAAGUCCGGGUUCUCUGUGAGUACAACCAAGGUUUUUAAUUCUUGUCCCUUCUCUCCAACUCCUAGAGAACAUUCUUUAAAGAGUUCUUCUUGUGCAUGUCAGGGAACUAAUCUGGGUGAUCUGUGGCCCUCGGAUGCCAGAGAACUAGACAUCUUGUAAUCCUAUGAUGAAACAAAGUAUCCUUGUCCUGAUGUCAGGGUUUGCCUUCUUUAAGACCUUAACUAUUGAGAAGAACUACACUGCCUGAUGAGGAUGAAGAUGUCACAGUUCUGCAGGAACCUAACAUGUCUGGGCUAAAACAUUUUAUAAUGCACAUUUCCUGUUCAAGCCCUCACUGUCUUCCCCACCCCUCGCCAGCCAGCUAGCUAUCUUCGUAUCCUCUUAAAAUGUUUCUCAGUCAAACGCUAUGCUGUUAUCUACAGGUGAUAAAGCAAAAAGUAGAAAAGGCUGAACUUUUCUUUGUUUGAGGCCCUGGUUUAGAGAAUUAACUCUCGUGGACUGUACUGGUACCAAUAAACUGGUUCCUGAAAGCUUGA